UGGGGUAUUUUCCGCAGUGGGCGAAAGCCUGACGGAGCAAUACCGCGUGAGGGAGGAAGGCUUUUGGGUUGUAAACCUCUUUUGUUAAGGAAGAAGCAAGUGACGGUACUUAACGAAUCAGCAUCGGCUAACUCCGUGCCAGCAGCCGCGGUAAUACGGAGGAUGCAAGCGUUAUCCGGAAUCAUUGGGCGUAAAGCGUCCGCAGGUGGUUCAUCAAGUCUGCUGUUAAAGACAGAAGCUCAACUUCUGAAAGGCAGUGGAAACUGGAGAACUAGAGUACGGUAGGGGUCGAGGGAAUUCCCAGUGUAGCGGUGAAAUGCGUAGAGAUUGGGAAGAACACCAGUAGCGAAGGCGGCUCGCUGGGCCAUUCCUGACGCUGAGACGCGAAAGCGUGGGGAGCGAACAGGAUUAGAUACCCCCGUAGUCC
rnacentral:rRNA from 1 species